UUAUAGAAAGCUAAAGCAUUUAAUUUCGACCUAAACCUAUGGUCUCCCGAGACCUCUAUUUA
rnacentral:tRNA from 1 species